GGCUCAGAUUGAACGCUGGCGGCAUGCCUUACACAUGCAAGUCGAACGGCAGCACGGGAGCAAUCCUGGUGGCGAGUGGCGAACGGGUGAGUAAUACAUCGGAACGUGCCCAAUCGUGGGGGAUAACGCAGCGAAAGCUGUGCUAAUACCGCAUACGAUCUACGGAUGAAAGCAGGGGACCGCAAGGCCUUGCGCGAAUGGAGCGGCCGAUGGCAGAUUAGGUAGUUGGUGAGGUAAAGGCUCACCAAGCCUUCGAUCUGUAGCUGGUCUGAGAGGACGACCAGCCACACUGGGACUGAGACACGGCCCAGACUCCUACGGGAGGCAGCAGUGGGGAAUUUUGGACAAUGGGCGAAAGCCUGAUCCAGCAAUGCCGCGUGCAGGAUGAAGGCCUUCGGGUUGUAAACUGCUUUUGUACGGAACGAAACGGUUCUUUCUAAUAAAGAGAGCUAAUGACGGUACCGUAAGAAUAAGCACCGGCUAACUACGUG
rnacentral:rRNA from 1 species